AACAACGAAGAGUUUGAUCCUGGCUCAGGAUGAACGCUAGCGACAGGCUUAACACAUGCAAGUCGAGGGGCAGCGGGGGAGGAAGCUUGCUUUCUCCUGCCGGCGACCGGCGCACGGGUGAGUAACACGUAUGCAACCUGGCCGUUACAGGUGGAUAACCGGAAGAAAUUCCGACUAAUACAGCAUAACACUCCUGAGGGACAUCCCUCGGGGGUCAAAGGAGGCGACUCCGGUGACGGAUGGGCAUGCGGCGCAUUAGGUAGUUGGUAGGGUAACGGCCUACCAAGCCGACGAUGCGUAGGGGUUCUGAGAGGAAGGUCCCCCACAUUGGAACUGAGACACGGUCCAAACUCCUACGGGAGGCAGCAGUGAGGAAUAUUGGUCAAUGGCCGGAAGGCUGAACCAGCCAAGUCGCGUGAGGGAAUAAGGCCCUAUGGGUCGUAAACCUCUUUUGUCAGGGAGCAAAGGCGUCCACGUGUGGACGAAAGGAGAGUACCUGAAGAAAAAGCAUCGGCUAACUCCGUGCCAGCAGCCGCGGUAAUACGGAGGAUGCGAGCGUUAUCCGGAUUUAUUGGGUUUAAAGGGUGCGUAGGCGGAGUGUCAAGUCAGCGGUAAAAUUUCGGGGCUCAACCCCGUUGUGCCGUUGAAACUGACACCCUUGAGUGAGUGAGAAGUAAGCGGAAUGCGUGGUGUAGCGGUGAAAUGCAUAGAUAUCACGCAGAACGCCGAUUGCGAAGGCAGCUUACCGGCGCUCAACUGACGCUGAGGCACGAAAGUGCGGGUAUCGAACAGGAUUAGAUACCCUGGUAGUCCGCACAGUAAACGAUGAAUGCUAGAUGUCCGGGGCGAAUGAGUCCUGGGUGUCACAGCGAAAGCGUUAAGCAUUCCACCUGGGGAGUACGCCGGCAACGGUGAAACUCAAAGGAAUUGACGGGGGCCCGCACAAGCGGAGGAACAUGUGGUUUAAUUCGAUGAUACGCGAGGAACCUUACCCGGGCUCAAACGCCUCAGGAAUCAUUUGUGAAAGCAGAUGAGUCUUCGGACCUGAGGCGAGGUGCUGCAUGGUUGUCGUCAGCUCGUGCCGUGAGGUGUCGGCUUAAGUGCCAUAACGAGCGCAACCCCCACCGACAGUUGCUAACUGGUCAG
rnacentral:rRNA from 1 species